AUGAGCAGAAACAGCAGGAAGAAGCUUUGGCAUUGCCCAUUCACAGUUAGCACCAGGAUGGCAGAUUCAGUGGAUGCAAAGAGGAAGUUGAAGUUGAUAAUGACGAAGGUAGUGAUGCUGAAAGUGAAGAAGGUAAGGAUAUGCUACAAGUAUUUCCGAAGUGAACAAUGUAUAUUUUGUAUCUCGGUUUCGUGUCCUCCAGUUAUCUAGGAGGGCAACUGGUCAUUCUUGAUCAACAUGGUCCAACAACACUAUUGGAGGCUACAAGGUUGGGGCAGGCUGUGGUAGACUUUUACCAAACAGGAGGAAUUCAAGUGCCAGCUCCUUGUGGGCAAUUAUUCACAUUUUAAACAAAGGGAUCUUCAUACAUAAAAGAUUCCUCGGUAUGUAAUUACUUUAUCAUUAUGAUUUUUAUAUACCAAAACACUGCAGCAUUGAAGUCACUAAUUAUUUUAGUUGAGUGCCUAAGAUGACAAUGCUGUGUUAAGUGAAGAUUUCCCACUGUGCAAGCAUAUUGUCUCUAAACAUGAAACCUGUAUUUACAAAAUAUCAGAUUUUUCUGGGGUAGUUUUAGUAUAGGUUUUCCUCCUCCCACUCCCAGCCACCUUAGCAAGCAGCACUUUGGCUCACAUUAGCACAUUAGUCUUCACUGCCCCAAAGACUCAGGUAGGAGGGAUGCCAACCAUCAUAUGGGGGAUUAGGGGCCUAGAAGGUGGUUGCCCACUGGUACUGAACUAUGUUCGGUGUGACUUGGCCAUGAGGACUCCAAGCUAACUCCUAGGCAACUGAGAUAGUCCAAGCAUGUUAUUUUAUGUAUUAUGUAUUUUUUGUAUGGCAUCUUUGUGUGUGAUUGUGUAAGUCACCCUGAGUUCCUAGGGAGAUGGUGGUGGAGUAUAAUAUAAUAAUAUAAUAACAACUUUAUUUUUAUAUCUCGCCACCAUCUCCCCGAAGGGACUCGAGGCAACUUACAUAAGGUCGAGCCCAGGUAAAUGCAAUAAACAAACUAAAACACAUCAAAAGACACGUGCAGUUAUAAAAAUUUAC
rnacentral:lncRNA from 1 species